CGGGAGGCAGCAGUAGGGAAUCUUCCACAAUGGACGAAAGUCUGAUGGAGCAACGCCGCGUGAGUGAAGAAGGUUUUCGGAUCGUAAAACUCUGUUGURAGGGAAGAACAMGUACGAGAGUAACUGCUCGUACCUUGACGGUACCUYAUUAGAAAGCCACGGCUAACUACGUGCCAGCAGCCGCGGUAAUACGUAGGUGGCAAGCGUUGUCCGGAAUUAUUGGGCGUAAAGCGCGCGCAGGCGGUCCUUUAAGUCUGAUGUGAAAGCCCACGGCUCAACCGUGGARGGUCAUUGGAAACUGGGGGACUUGAGUACAGAAGAGGAAAGCGGAAUUCCAAGUGUAGCGGUGAAAUGCGUAGAGAUUUGGAGGAACACCAGUGGCGAAGGCGGCUUUCUGGUCUGUAACUGACGCUGAGGCGCGAAAGCGUGGGGAGCAAACAGGAUUAGAUACCCUGGUAGUCCACGCCGUAAACGAUGAGUGCU
rnacentral:rRNA from 1 species